UGUAAUCCCUGGUACCUACUUAUCUAUACUCUAAAAUUGUUGCUUUUUGUUUUUACCUAAAUUGCUUACUAAAAUUAAACAAUAAAAUUGUAUAGGAAAAGCAAAGUGUAGUAAUGAGAUAAAUACCUAUAAAAACUUCUUAAAUGGAUUCAUUGAUUCAAGAAUUACUUAACAGUGAAAAGUGCAAAUCUUUGCCGGUAUUUUUGGAUAGGUUACAUGUUUUGCUUCAGUCUAAUAUCGAGAUAGAAUCUAUAUCUUCAUUUUUAAUUGAUAAAGAUUUUUUAGACGAAGUAAAAAACCUUGUUGCCCAUGGUUCCAUACCCUUGUUUUUUGGGAAAUCUCUAAAGGAUUUAAAAUGCAUUGUUCAGGAUAAUGAAAACAGAAAACAUGAAUUAUAUUUUCAUUAUAAUGGCCCAAGAAAACUGUCGAUAACUUCAGUAUAUCUACCUUAUUCGACAAUUCAAGAUCAAGAAUAUAAUUGUAUAGAAGAUAUUAUUGUAGCUUUUAAAAAGCGUCUGUCAUAUUUAAACAAAUAUUUUAAAGAAUUGGAAAAUAUUGAUAGUUUAUGUACUGUUGUGGAGCCUGUAAAUCGAACUUUUAAAGAUGAUUACAGAGUAAUAUCGCUUGAUAAUAAAACAUGGUUACAUGUUGAAGUUACACCAGAGGGAAUGGGAAAUAAUGUCCGUCUAUUGGGGAAAGGUAGAGAAUGGAGUGAACAGCUUCAGAAUAAACUUUUAUUAUGGGAUCAUGAUACAAAUGUUGUUGAAAACAUUAUGACUUUAUUCGUUACGGGAGACGAAAUCUGGAUUUACUGUUAUGAUCCCGAAACUAAAAGGCAGUCAGCUCAGUGGGUGUUUCCUUCCGAGGAGUUGCCAACUAAAGUGAAGAGAGGUAGAAGUGUGGGAAAAAAGAUGGUGGCCUCGUUCUUUGGAAGGACAGGUCAUUAAGUGACAAUUGUUUUAGAGGAUCGAAACAGAUACUGCAGAGUGGUACAGUAACAAUUGUUUAACACGUGUUUUGGAAAAAGUGCGUGAGAAACGACCUCGCAGUAGGAUCCUCCUUCAUCAUGAUAAUGCUUCGUCGCACACCGCCAGGCAAAUGAUCGAUUAUUUGGCGACCACAGACGUAGAACUACUGGGUCAUCCGCCUUAUAGCCCCGACCCCGCACCUUGCGAUUUUUAUUCCGAAAAAUAAAAGAAAAACCUCAAAGAAAACGUUAUAUGGAUGCCGAGGAAGCUGUGGCUACAUUUCAGAAGGCCGUCGAAGAGAUCCCUAAGGACGAGAGGGCAAAGUGCUUUUCUCAGUGGCUCUAUCGGAUGCAGCGAUGUAUUGACGUAAAUGGACACUAUUUUGAAAAGAUAAAAUAAGGAUGUGAUAAAUUAUGCUGCUCCUUCUUACCAAGAGUCUAGUUCACAAAAAGUAAUUGAAAAAGUUCCUAUUUGUAAUAUUUGCCUCAGUGCCCAGCUGCCAAACUCAUCUGAAGUGCCACAAUCUUUCUGUUCUAAUUCUAACUGUGGUGUUUACUUCCAUAGAAAUUGUUUAUGCCAG
rnacentral:misc_RNA from 1 species